rnacentral:tRNA from 1 species
AGCCCGGUGGUGUAGCGGUCAAACUGGUUCCAGGGCUAAGCAUGUCGGGCUCUGUCCCCGGCGACGGCGGUUCGAAUCCGCCCCGGGCUACCA